CCUACGGGCGGCAGCAGUGAGGAAUAUUGGUCAAUGGACGAGAGUCUGAACCAGCCAAGUAGCGUGAAGGAUGACUGCCCUAUGGGUUGUAAACUUCUUUUAUAUGGGAAUAAAAUGUUCCACGUGUGGGAUUUUGUAUGUACCAUAUGAAUAAGGAUCGGCUAACUCCGUGCCAGCAGCCGCGGUAAUACGGAGGAUCCGAGCGUUAUCCGGAUUUAUUGGGUUUAAAGGGAGCGUAGGUGGAUUGUUAAGUCAGUUGUGAAAGUUUGCGGCUCAACCGUAAAAUUGCAGUUGAAACUGGCAGUCUUGAGUACAGUAGAGGUGGGCGGAAGUCGUGGUGUAGCGGUGAAAUGCUUAGAUAUCACGAAGAACUCCGAUUGAGAAGGCAGUUCACUGGACUGCAACUGACACUGAGGCUCGAAAGUGUGGGUAUCAAACAGGAUUAGAUACCCGGGUAGUC
rnacentral:rRNA from 1 species